rnacentral:misc_RNA from 1 species
GAUGAAGAACGUAGCGAAAUGCGAUAAGUAAUGUGAAUUGCAGAAUUCAGUGAAUCAUCGAAUCUUUGAUCGCACAUUGCGCCCAUUAGUAUUCUAGUGGGCAUGCCUGUUCGAGCGUCAUUAAGUCCACUUAAGCCCUGCUUAGUGUUGGGAGACUGCUCCAGCGGUGCUACCCUGUAGCUACCCUGCAGCUCCUCAAAGACAGCGGCGGAGUUGUGGUAUCCUCUGAGCUUAGUAACUUGUUCUAGCUUUCGAGUACACCACUUCCCCUGCCGUAAAACCCUUAAUUUUUAAUGGUUGACCUCGGAUCAGGUAGGAAUACCCGCUGAACUUAAGCAUAUCAAUAAGCGGAGGA